GGAUUCUCAACCACUGCGCCACCAGGCUUAAAUAUUUAAGAAAUGUAUAAAUGGCUGAAAAUCUACGAAAGAACUCUAAAAAACUUUGGGAAAAUGCUAAUGAAACACGAGAAGAAAAAGGCAUUCCUGGAUGACUGAAAACAAGGAAGCAAUUUUCGACUUCCCCUUUACGUUCGGAAGCAUCAACAACAUACAAGUCUGUCCACACAGGCCUUGACUGCACAGCAAGCUUCGAAAAAUGUUUGUCACCAGAGCAAGAUAAUUUUUGCAACUUGUGAUAAUAAGAAGCUGGUUUGACGAAAACCUUGCAGUUGUGAAAAAAAAUGAUUUUUCGAAAUUUGUGGUUGAUAAAAAUGGUUUCUCACAUAGUUGUUUACUGUAUCCCCGUUAUCUUGCCUUGGUUUCCAUGAUCUACCACCCAUAGCCCCCAAACCAAAUAUUUUAUUUAAGAUCUAAAUGUUUGUUUAUUUGCUUAUCUAAUUCUUGGCCAUAGACCCAAUUUCUGCAUCAUCCUGGUCAGGAUUCUGUGUGGAUCCUAGGCUUGCUUCCUGUAAGUUAUCUCUAACUUCCAAACAGCCUAUAGAAGCAAAAAGGUACGAUCCCUACCCUACCCAAACACUCUCCUAUUUUUCAUGGCUGGAACACUGUAUCAUUUAUUCAAACCUGUGUCAUUCAUUUAUUCCAUUCGUUCAUUCAAAAACAGCUGUUGAACAACCAGAACUGAACUAGGUCUAAUUUUAGUCUUUGCCCUUGAGGUUCUCAGAAUUUCAUUAGAGAUACCAACAGAUAACCAACUCAGGACGGUGCAGAUUUCUGUGGUAAGUGCCGUAUUUUGUAAUGUGAACACAGAUGAGAUAUCAACACCCAGGAGGUGCGGGUGACUAAUCCGUGAGCAAGGCCCUCUAAAAUAUAUGGGGUUAUUUAAUCUGCACACUGACCUUAAAAGGAAAGGACUUUUAUCGUCGUGUUUAUCAGAUGAGGAAGCUGAGGCUUUGGGAGGUUCAGAACUUUCCAGGCCCCAGAUAGCAGGCAGCGAGACAUGGCUCAGAGACCCGGUCCCUGUGCUCUUUAUCCUGCCAACCUGGAAGGAUGGAUCAUGCAAAGGAGGAGUUUUCUUUGCCCCCUCGGGGACUGGCAAGGGGACUCGCUGAGCUCCCAGCAAUGUCCGGCCCCCGGGCGAGAGCUGGCGUCUGGAUAGGGGGACCAGGUCCACGCGAGGGCUCUCAGUCCUUCCACCUCAUCUUUCCUUGGUUCUGCCCGCAGGCCUUCUGUUGACCUGGGUUUGCAACCUGAGACUCCUCAUUUCCAGAUCCGGACUACAAGGGUCUUCCUUUGGGGGCGCAGGUCCCUCGGAGGAGGGACCCGCCCCUGCUGUAGCGGCUGCCCAGAAGAAAGCACGCCUUUUUUAUCCUGAAAUGAAAUUUGUCGUUAGUUAAAACGCUUGUCCGGGCUUCCCUGCUGGCGCAGUGGUUAAG